UGGGGAAUAUUGCACAAUGGGCGCAAGCCUGAUGCAACCAUGCCGCGUGUGUGAAGAAGGCCUUCGGGUUGUAAAGCACUUUCAGCGGGGAGGAAGGCGAUAAGGUUAAUAACCUUGUCGAUUGACGUUACCCGCAGAAGAAGCACCGGCUAACUCCGUGCCAGCAGCCGCGGUAAUACGGAGGGUGCAAGCGUUAAUCGGAAUUACUGGGCGUAAAGCGCACGCAGGCGGUCUGUCAAGUCGGAUGUGAAAUCCCCGGGCUCAACCUGGGAACUGCAUUCGAAACUGGCAGGCUAGAGUCUUGUAGAGGGGGGUAGAAUUCCAGGUGUAGCGGUGAAAUGCGUAGAGAUCUGGAGGAAUACCGGUGGCGAAGGCGGCCCCCUGGACAAAGACUGACGCUCAGGUGCGAAAGCGUGGGGAGCAAACAGG
rnacentral:rRNA from 1 species